UUUCCACCCAAUACCAGCCCCAGGUUUCUAUCAUGGAACAGAUACAAUUUGGAUAAUCUUGAAAAAUUCAUGAUCCAAAGAAGUUUCAUAACAGAUGGGGAGCUAAGUAUACCUCAGAUUGAGAAUUCUGCACUGGAAUCCUUUCGGAAAGAGAGUUUGACUGAUCGAUUUGAAGAUGAAGAUUAUGACAAUAACCACCACACUGAGGUAGAAGAACCUAAUAUGUCUUCAAGAAAACACGUGCUGCAGCUUGUUUUGAACAAUCCCCCACAG